rnacentral:rRNA from 1 species
GAUGAACGCUGGCGGCGUGCUUAACACAUGCAAGUCGAACGGAAAGGCCUCUGCUUGCAGGGGUACUCGAGUGGCGAACGGGUGAGUAACACGUGGGUGAUCUGCCCUGCACUUCGGGAUAAGCCUGGGAAACUGGGUCUAAUACCGGAUAGGACAAUGGUUUGGAUGCUGUUGUGGAAAGUUUUUCGGUGUGGGAUGAGCUCGCGGCCUAUCAGCUUGUUGGUGGGGUAAUGGCCUACCAAGGCGUCGACGGGUAGCCGGCCUGAGAGGGUGUACGGCCACAUUGGGACUGAGAUACGGCCCAGACUCCUACGGGAGGCAGCAGUGGGGAAUAUUGCACAAUGGGGGCAAGCCUGAUGCAGCGACGCCGCGUGGGGGAUGACGGCCUUCGGGUUGUAAACUCCUUUCGCUAGGGACGAGGCGUUUUUGUGACGGUACCUGGAGAAGAAGCACCGGCUAACUACGUG